rnacentral:tRNA from 1 species
AGAAUCUUAGGUUAACUCAAACCCUUAGCCUUCAAAGCUUAAAUUAAACUUUAUUGUUUAGCUUCUG